UCUCUGUCCCCUACUCUCUCUCGCCUCUCCUCUCUGUCUCCCUCCUCCUUUCCUUUGUCCCUCGCCUCCCUCCUUGGUGUAAGCGCAUGGCAGGGCAGCAGAAUCGGUAAUGAAGAAAGCGCUCAAUUUAGCCUCCUCAGCCGCGCGCUCCUCUGAGAUGUGCUUCCUGCCUGCCUCUCUGCCUGGGUGCAGCGAGGCGGGGUGCUGUGAGUGGCUGAGCUAGAGCUGACAUCACAGGGGCCAGCUGUUUGAUUGGUGCUGUCUCUGAGCUGGGGCGAGUCACUGGCUCCGUCAGGCGCCUACUGAGGGCUCUGGGCAGGUAGACACACACACACACGAACCCACAACGAUAGGAGGCUGUGUGAGACUACUGCUGCUGCAGGGAGCGAGUCGCUCCGAGCAGCUACAUCCUCCUCAACCAAUGCUGCCUUGGGUACUACGCGACUCCUCCAACAGCUUGCAAUGAACAUAAGGAGGGCUGCUAUGUGGCAGGUCUGUGAUGGCCAUGAGCAGCUUGGAGGGCAGUGCCACCGAGGCCGUUCAGAUCUGGACACCAGAGACUCCGAGCUGGUGCUAAGGACAUGGGACUCUCCCUCAGAGUUAGCGACAGGCUCAGCAGCACGAGACGUUACAGUGACAAACCAGCGGUGGCGCAGGACUGCUGCCCCCAGAGCCUUCUCACCCUCUGUAGGACGUCACCACCACAGGCCCAGGAGCACCCAGACCCCAGUAACAGCAGUGUUGUAUAGAGACCUCUCUGUAAGCUGUGCGUCUGAUGAGGAUUGUCUGAUCUGUUACUGUAAAGGACAUCAGUAGGACUGAGACCAUGAAGUUUGGUGAUGCUGGAGUGGAGCUGGAGGCAGCAGACUGGACCGGAACCACAAACUUAGGAGCAGACAGCAGACGGACGGUGUGAAGGAACAAUCCCAAACAGGCUGGGAGCCUGGUGCUGGAACACAAUGCCACCGGUCACCAAGACGGAAGCUGCUGUGACAACAGAGGGAAACGUCACAGAUAUCCCAGUCCUUUGAUAAGGAGGAGCUGUCUGCCAAGGAGGAGAAAGAGAAGGUGGAGAAACCAGAGAAGAUGCCCAGGAAAAUGCUCUCAGAGAUUCCAGCCAGGACACACAGACUCUACUGAAUAGACCUGCAUGAGUUCCUGGUCAACACCCUAAGAAAACCCAGAGACAGAAUGAUGCUGUUGAAGUUGGAGCAGGACAUUCUGGAUUUAUCAGUAAUAAUGAAAGCCAGAAGAGGAAGUUCCCUCCCAUGACGUCGUACCAUAGAAUGCUGCUACACCGAGUGGCUGCCUACUUUGGCAUGGAUCACAAUGUUGACCCCACCGGGAAGUCUGUCAUCAUCAACAAAACUAGCAAUACAAGAAUACCAGAUAAAAAAUUCUCAGAACACAUAAAAGACGACAAAACAGACGAUUUC